GACGAACGCUGGCGGCGCGCUUAAUACAUGCAAGUCGAGCGAGAACCGGAGCUUCGGCUCCGGGGACAGCGGCGAACGGGUGAGUAACACGUGGGUAACCUGCCCUCGGCACCGGGAUAGCCCGGGGAAACCCGGAUUAAUACCGGAUGGCCCUUUCGGUCUUCGGACCGGUCGGCAAAGGUAGCUUCGGCCUCCGGCCGAGGAUGGGCCCGCGGCGGAUUAGCUUGUUGGUGAGGUAACGGCUCACCAAGGCUCCGAUCCGUAGCUGGUCUGAGAGGACGAUCAGCCACACUGGGACUGAGACACGGCCCAGACUCCUACGGGAGGCAGCAGUAGGGAAUCUUGCGCAAUGGGCGAAAGCCUGACGCAGCGACGCCGCGUGCGGGAAGACGGCCUUCGGGUUGUAAACCGCUUUCAGGAGGGACGAAGCCACUCGGGUGAAUAGCCCAGAGGGUGACGGUACCUCCAGAAGAAGCCCCGGCUAACUACGUGCCAGCAGCCGCCGUAA
rnacentral:rRNA from 1 species